rnacentral:rRNA from 1 species
AUACGUAGGGGGCGAGCGUUGUCCGGAAUGAUUGGGCGUAAAGGGCGCGUAGGCGGCCCGGUAAGUCUGGAGUGAAAGUCCUGUUUUUAAGAUGGGAAUUGCUUUGGAUACUGUCGGGCUUGAGUGCAGGAGAGGUAAGUGGAAUUCCCAGUGUAGCGGUGAAAUGCGUAGAGAUUGGGAGGAACACCAGUGGCGAAGGCGACUUACUGGUCUGUAACUGACGCUGAGGCGCGAAAGUGUGGGGAGCAAACAGGAUUAGAUACCCUGGUAGUCCACACUGUAAACGAUGAAUGCUAGGUGUAGGGGGUAUCGACCCCUUCUGUGCCGCAGUCAACACAAUAAGCAUUCCGCCUGGGGAGUACGGCCGCAAGGUUGAAACUCAAAUGAAUUGGCGGGG